GCGGGCGUGGCGAAAUGGCAUACGCACCAGACUUAGGAUCUGGCGGGGCAACCCAUGGAGGUUCAAGUCCUCUCGCCCGCACCA
rnacentral:tRNA from 1 species